AACCUAAAGAACCAAAAAUGCUACGACCCAUCUUCUUUUCCAUCAAAAUCCUACCCACCAAAACCAAGCUCUGUCCCUUUCUCCAUUUUUUCUUCACAACACCAUCAAAGACACCAUUUUUGAACAAGUUCAAGCAAAAAUAUUAAAGUACCUAAUCUAAGUAGAUGAAUCUUGCAUCAAAAUCCCUAAUUUUCACCAUUGAAGGUUCUACAUCUAAGAAUAAGGGAAAGGAGGUGGUUGAGGCAUAAUGUUUUGAGAGAAGGGUGAACCUUCAAAGAGUGUGGAAGGCAAGAAAAAGGCUUAACUGGAUGUAAUUAAGCUUUGAAUCGUGCAACCAAAGGUUAGUGCUUAACAUAUAUGUGAAUGUUUUAUUUGGUUUUACACAAUUUGCAAACA